UAUUUCAUGCAAAUAAUAGGUUACAUAC
rnacentral:sRNA from 1 species